rnacentral:rRNA from 1 species
AUGCAUGAUUUGGUGCAUGACUUGGCACAAUCAGUUGCUGGUGAUGAAGCAUUUUAUCUGCAUGCUAUAAGCCAAAGUAGUUCACCCAGUGACAACUGUCAUCAUUUAGUUGUGGUUAGCUAUGAUAAAAGGCUUUGCAAGUCAUUGUCUGUUAAGGUUAGGUCACUACAUUUCAGGGAUUGUGGUGGAAAACAACUUCCUGGCGAUACAUUCUCAUUGACAAAAAACUUACGCAUCUUGGAUUUAACUGGAUGUGUUGUGAGGAAGUUGACGGAUCCAACUCGUCAAUUAGCUCAUUUGAGGUACCUUGAUGCUUCACUAUUAUGUGAUAAAGAUUUUCCUAUGUGGAUUACAAGCCUCUUGAAAUUACAUUAUUUGAGCAUACAUGGCUCUACCAAAAUAUCAGAGCUGCCGAAGUCAACCGGGAACCUUAAAGAUUUGGCACAUCUGGAUUUAUCAUGUUGUGGAAACCUUGUGCACUUGCCGGAGUUUUUUUCCAACCUUACAAGUCUCUUGCUAUUGAACCUGGCAGAUUGUUCCAGCCUUUCUGCAUUGCCCAAUUCCAUCUGUGACCUUUUGAAUCUAGAGAACUUAAACCUCUUAGGUUGUAAACUGGAAGAACUACCUAAAUUUCUGGGAAAUCUUAAGAAGCUAAGGCUGCUGAACCUAUCUAGGUGUUCUAGGCUUCGUGAUUUACCUGAUUCCCUCUGUAACCUUGUCUCCCUAGAAAAGCUAGACCUAUCUUAUUGUUCUAGUUUGCAAGAACUACCAAAUUUCUUUGGUAACCUUCAAGAACUAAGCCUUUUGGAUUUAUCACACUGUUCCAAUCUUUCUAGAUUGCCUGAUUCAUUUGGUAAUCUGAACAAAUUGCAACAUUUAAACUUAGAAGCUUUCAUGCAUUACAUGCCCUUGCACCACAGUGAGCUACGCUACUACUUCGACAUGUUAUUUUGAGUCCUAUGUAACCUACUCAACCUGCAAUACCUAAACUUCUCAGCGUGCCCUGUUUCUGUUCUUCCUGAAUCUCUUGCCAACCUCAAAAUGCUUCACACAUUGAAUAUCUCAUGUUGCAUUUCCCUAAGAAAAUUGCCACAAAAAAUUCUUGAAUUGCCAAACCUUAAAUCUUUAGUUGUGAAGAAUUGUUUCCCACCUAUCGAAGAUCAAAUCAAGCGAUCCUCACUGGCCAAUGGUUUGAUGUCAUUGCCAAAGUUUUUUGUGUAUAACAUGCCUGGUGGUGUGUCCAGCAAUAUUGUGCAGCUUGAGGGUGUAGAUGCUAAAGAGCUUGAGAUAAAAUUUCUUGAAGAUGUGGUGAGUUUGGAAGAAGCUAAGAAAGUCAACCUGGCAUGUAAAUCAAGGCUUUCCAUGUUGUUCCUCUCUUGGACUGGCAAUGUCGUCGACCAUCUUGUGGAUGAUGAGUCUUUGCUUGUGGAGCUCCUACCCCCAACCACCUUGGAACAGUUUAUUCUCCAAGGUUACAUGGGCAUCACUUUCCCAAGUUGGAUAUGCUCUGCUACAUAUCUUGUAAACCUUUCCAGAAUAGAGCUGCAUAAUUUGCAGGGAUGCACCCAGCUACCAUCACUUGGUCAGUUACCUAAUUUGCAAGAGUUGUCUCUGCGUGCAUUGCCAAACAUCAAGAAACUGGAUAAGAAUUUCUGUGGUGGUAAUCAUGCAUUCACAAAGUUGACAAAAUUUGUUAUGCAGGACAUGGAUAAUCUGGAAGUCUGGUAUACGAGAGUAUCAAUAGAGGGCGAUGAUAAAAGGGAAGAAGUCAUGUUCCCUAACCUUCACAAGUUGCUGAUACAUGGAUGCAACAAGUUGAUGGUGAAACCAUGCCCGCCUAUAGCUGCGGAGUGAGUCAUAGAGGUUAAUGAUAUUAUAGUAUCAUCAUGGGAGGUUAAAAGACAUGCAGAAAUUCUGUCCAAUUCGAUGACUUGUUUGGAAAUAUCAGAUUGCCAUGUCAAGCCUAAUGGUUGGAGGCUGCUCUAUCAUCUUCCCACCCUUCGCAAGUUAAAGCUCCGCAUGUGCAAUGAGUUAAGUAGCUUACCAGGAAGCAUUGAAGUCCUUGCCUCCCUUCGGUCGCUACUUGUGUUUGCAUGCCACAAUUUGGUGGAACUGCCGAAAUGGUUUGGCAAUCUCACCGCACAAGAAUUGGAAAUCAACUACUGUCCUAAGCUCAAGUCCUUGCAGGAGAGCAUGCAGCACCUUACAUCACUCCGAUUGCUGCACUUGGGUCACUGCGACAACAUCUCAUCACUGCCGGAGUGGUUCGGCAAUCUCAUCUCUCUCCAAAGACUUGAGAUCUCGGGAUGCCAACUAGUCAAGUCUUUACCACGAUGCAUGCAACAUCAUAGCGCUCUGAGGGAGCUACAGAUCAGGCAUAACCCUGAACUGAAACAGUGGUGUGAGUAUUUCCUGGACGAGAAAGAAAUAGUGUGA